rnacentral:rRNA from 1 species
GACGAACGCUGGCGGCGUGCUUAACACAUGCAAGUCGAACGGAAAGGCCCUGCUUUUGUGGGGUGCUCGAGUGGCGAACGGGUGAGUAACACGUGAGUAACCUGCCCUUGACUUUGGGAUAACUUCAGGAAACUGGGGCUAAUACCGGAUAGGAGCUCCUGCUGCAUGGUGGGGGUUGGAAAGUUUCGGCGGUUGGGGAUGGACUCGCGGCUUAUCAGCUUGUUGGUGGGGUAGUGGCUUACCAAGGCUUUGACGGGUAGCCGGCCUGAGAGGGUGACCGGCCACAUUGGGACUGAGAUACGGCCCAGACUCCUACGGGAGGCAGCAGUGGGGAAUAUUGCACAAUGGGCGGAAGCCUGAUGCAGCAACGCCGCGUGCGGGAUGACGGCCUUCGGGUUGUAAACCGCUUUCGCCUGUGACGAAGCGUGAGUGACGGUAAUGGGUAAAGAAGCACCGGCUAACUACGUGCCAGCAGCCGCGGUGAUACGUAGGGUGCGAGCGUUGUCCGGAUUUAUUGGGCGUAAAGGGCUCGUAGGUGGUUGAUCGCGUCGGAAGUGUAAUCUUGGGGCUUAACCCUGAGCGUGCUUUCGAUACGGGUUGACUUGAGGAAGGUAGGGGAGAAUGGAAUUCCUGGUGGAGCGGUGGAAUGCGCAGAUAUCAGGAGGAACACCAGUGGCGAAGGCGGUUCUCUGGGCCUUUCCUGACGCUGAGGAGCGAAAGCGUGGGGAGCGAACAGGCUUAGAUACCCUGGUAGUCCACGCUGUAAACGGUGGGUACUAGGUGUGGGGUCCAUUCCACGGGUUCCGUGCCGUAGCUAACGCUUUAAGUACCCCGCCUGGGGAGUACGGCCGCAAGGCUAAAACUCAAAGGAAUUGACGGGGCCCCGCACAAGCGGCGGAGCAUGCGGAUUAAUUCGAUGCAACGCGUAGAACCUUACCUGGGUUUGACAUGGAUCGGGAGUGCUCAGAGAUGGGUGUGCCUCUUUUGGGGUCGGUUCACAGGUGGUGCAUGGCUGUCGUCAGUUCGUGUCGUGAGAUGUUGGGUUAAGUCCCGCAACGAGCGCAACCCUUGUUCACUGUUGCCAGCACGUUAUGGUGGGGACUCAGUGGAGACCGCCGGGGUCAACUCGGAGGAAGGUGGGGAUGACGUCAAGUCAUCAUGCCCCUUAUGUCCAGGGCUUCACGCAUGCUACAAUGGCUGGUACAGAGAGUGGCGAGCCUGUGAGGGUGAGCGAAUCUCGGAAAGCCGGUCUCAGUUCGGAUUGGGGUCUGCAACUCGACCUCAUGAAGUCGGAGUCGCUAGUAAUCGCAGAUCAGCAACGCUGCGGUGAAUACGUUCCCGGGGCU